UAACUUGAGGACCGAACCGACUAAUGUUGAAAAAUUAGCGGAUGACUUGUGGCUGGGGGUGAAAGGCCAAUCAAACCGGGAGAUAGCUGGUUCUCCCCGAAAGCUAUUUAGGUAGCGCCUCGUGAAUUCAUCUCCGGGGGUAGAGCACUGUUUCGGCAAGGGGGUCAUCCCGACUUACCAACCCGAUGCAAACUGCGAAUACCGGAGAAUGUUAUUACGGGAGACACACGGCGGGUGCUAACGUCCGUCGUGAAGAGGGAAACAACCCAGACCGCCAGCUAAGGUCCCAAAGUCAUGGUUAAGUGGGAAACGAUGUGGGAAGGCCCAGACAGCCAGGAUGUUGGCUUAGAAGCAGCCAUCAUUUAAAGAAAGCGUAAUAGCUCACUGGUCGAGUCGGCCUGCGCGGAAGAUGUAACGGGCUAAACCAUGCACCGAAGCUGCGGCAGCGACACUAUGUGUUGUUGGUAGGGGAGCGUUCUGUAAGCCUGUGAAGGUGUACUGUGAGGUAUGCUGGAGGUAUCAGAAGUGCGAAUGCUGACAU
rnacentral:rRNA from 1 species